rnacentral:tRNA from 1 species
UACUUGGUAGUCCAGUGGUUAAAACUCUGCACUUCCAAUGCAGGGGACAUGGGUUCGAUUCCUGGUUGGGGAA